rnacentral:rRNA from 1 species
GGGUGAGUAACGCGUAUGCAACCUGCCCGUUUCAGCGGGAUAACCCGGAGAAAUCCGGCCUAAUACCGCAUGUGGCCGAGGGGAGGCGUCUUCUUUCGGCCAAAGGAGGCGACUCCGGAGACGGAUGGGCAUGCGUGACAUUAGCUUGUUGGCGGGGUAACGGCCCACCAAGGCGACGAUGUCUAGGGGUUCUGAGAGGAAGGUCCCCCACACUGGUACUGAGACACGGACCAGACUCCUACGGGAGGCAGCAGUGAGGAAUAUUGGUCAAUGGGCGAGAGCCUGAACCAGCCAAGUCGCGUGAAGGAUGACGGCCCUACGGGUUGUAAACUUCUUUUGUCAGGGAGCAAUUGGGUCCACGUGUGGGCUUAGCGAGAGUACCUGAAGAAAAAGCAUCGGCUAACUCCGUGCCAGCAGCCGCGGUAAUACGGAGGAUGCGAGCGUUAUCCGGAUUUAUUGGGUUUAAAGGGUGCGUAGGCGGAAUAUCAAGUCAGCGGUAAAAAUUCGGGGCUCAACCCCGUCGUGCCGUUGAAACUGAUGUUCUUGAGUGGGCGAGAAGUAUGCGGAAUGCGUGGUGUAGCGGUGAAAUGCAUAGAUAUCACGCAGAACUCCGAUUGCGAAGGCAGCAUACCGGCGCCCAACUGACGCUGAAGCACGAAAGCGUGGGUAUCGAACAGGAUUAGAUACCCUGGUAGUCCACGCAGUAAACGAUGAAUGCUAAUUGUCCGGA